rnacentral:rRNA from 1 species
GAUGAACGCUGGCGGCGUGCCUAAUACAUGCAAGUCGAGCGAACAGACGAGGAGCUUGCUCCUUCGACGUUAGCGGCGGACGGGUGAGUAACACGUAGGUAACCUACCUAUAAGACUGGGAUAACUUCGGGAAACCGGAGCUAAUACCGGAUAAUAUUUCGAACCGCAUGGUUCGAUAGUGAAAGAUGGCUUUGCUAUCACUUAUAGAUGGACCUGCGCCGUAUUAGCUAGUUGGUAAGGUAACGGCUUACCAAGGCAACGAUGCGUAGCCGACCUGAGAGGGUGAUCGGCGACACUGGAACUGAGACACGGUCCAGACUCCUACGGGAGGCAGCAGUAGGGAAUGUUACGCAAUGGGGGAAAGCAUGACGGAGCAACGCGGCGUGAGUGAUGAAGGUCUUCGGAUCGUAAAACUCUGUUAUUAGGGAAGAACAGAUGUGUACGUAGCUGUGCACGUCUUGACGGUACCUAAUCAGAAAGCAACGGCUAACUACGUG